UGCCCGGGCCCGGGGGCCGCGACAGUCGGCCCCCUCCAGCCCUCAUGGCACAGCAGCCGGCACGUCCCCCGCGUCCCAACACCGUUCCCCGCCGGAGUAUCGCCGCACACCCGGCACCGUGCAGCACAGCCGCACUGCACACCCCGAAACAUGCAACACAGCCGGCACACCCUGCGCUGUGCAGCACAGACACACACCCUGCACUGUGCAGCACAGCUGCACCGCACACCCUGAACCGUGCAGCACAGCCGGCACACCCCAAAAGGUGCAACACAGCUGCACCACACACCCUGAACUGUGCAGCACAGCCACACAGCCUGAACAGUGCAGCACAGCCACACACCCCGUGCCAUGCAAAACAGCCGCACACCCCAAAACGUGCAACACAGCUGCACCACACACCCUGAACUGUGUGGCACAGUCGUACACCCCAAACCAUGCAGCACAGCUGGCACACCCCAAACCAUGCUGCAUAGCUGCACACCCCGAACCAUGCAGCACAGCUGCACACCCCGUACUGUGCAACACAGCCGCACCGCACACCCUGAACCAUGCAGCACAGCUGCACACCCCGUACUGUGCAACACAGCCGCACCGCACACCCCGAACCAUGCAGCACAGCUGCACACCCCGUACUGUGCAACACAGCCACACCGCACACCCUGAACCAUGCGGCACAGCUGCACACCCCAUACUGUGCAACACAGCCGCACCGCACACCCUGAACCAUGCAGCACAGCCACACACCCUGCACUGUGCAGCACAGCCACACUGCACACCCCAAACCAUGCGGCACAGCUGCACCUCCUGAACCAUGCAGCACGGCUGCACAUCUCGCACCGUGCAACACAGCCACAUGGCACACCCUGAACCAUGCAGCACAGCCACACUGAACCAUGCAGCACAGCUGCACACCCCCAACCAUGCAGCACAGCCUUCGCACCCCAAACCGUGCAUCACAGCUGGCACAGCUCAAACCGUGCAACACAACCGUUGCAGCCCAAACCACGCAACACAACUGGCACAUGCCAAACUGUGCAAUGCAACCGUUGUGCCUCAACCUGUGCAGCACAAAUGUCGCUUCAACCCAUACAACACAACCAUCGCGCCUCAACCUGUGCAACGCAACCGUCGUCUCAACCCUUACAACACAACUGCCGCGCUUCAACCCAUGCAACACAACUGUCGUGCCUCAACCCGUGCAACGCAACCAUCGUCUCAACCUUACAACACAAUGCUGCACUUCAACCCAUGCAACGCAACCGUCAUCCCUCAACUCAUGCAAUGCAACCAUCACACCUCAACCUGUGCAGUGCAACCAUUGUCUCAACCCAUGCAACGCAAGCGUCACACCUCGACCCAUGUAAUGUAACUGUCGUGUGUCAACCCGUGCAGCGCAGCCGUCAUCUCAACCCUUACAAUGCAACACUGCACUUCAACCCAUGCAAUGCAACCGUCACGCCUCAGCCUGUGCAGUGCAACCAUUGUCUCAACCCUUGCAACACAACCGUCACACCUCAAACCAUGCAAUGCAACCGUUCCACCUCGACCUGUGCAAUGCAACCGUCGCGCGUCAACCC
ensembl:lncRNA